GUUACUAAAUAAAUCAUUACUCAAAAUAGAGGUGGCGCUGUUUUCGACUUUCUAUUAGCUUGAGCGAGGUUUCUGCAGCCAUUGUGGUCGUUCGUUAGGUCUGGGGGAGGGGUACAUUGAAUCUCAGUCGACCGCGUGGCGCUGAACGUGCCGCGUGUUUUUAUUCCGCAUCAACAUUGUUACCUACCUAUUAAAGCUAUUCUGCCGUUAUUAACGCCCUUAAAAUGCCUCUCACGCCAGCUGAGAAGCAAGCAAGUUAAUAGAAACAGAUCGAAGUUAUUUACAGAUUAUAUAAAAUUUAAGUUACAAUUAGAAACAGUUAACAAGAGAUAGGAGACGUAUAAAAAUAAUGCAACAGAGAAAAACGAAAGAAGUCUAAAAGUAAGGACGGCAAUCCAGAAAAUCCAGUAAAUGCUAUUAAAAAUGGCCAUGAAAAAGUUAAGAAUCUGAAGGAAAAGUAUGCUAUUGAUAAAAUAUUCGACAAGAAGGCCGUUAAAAUGUGUAGGCAGGAAAUACAAAUUAUACAAGAGUGUCUUGCUGUGGAUCAAAGUUUCAUAUGAAAAAAAUCAGCCCACAUGUAAGAAAAAUGUUUUUAGAACCAAAAUCAAUCUUUUCGAACGUGACGACAUAUCAAGAGUAUGCAAUUUAUUCACUUAUAGUACAAAAAGAACAACUAAGUUACUGUGUUACAACUCUGUUACUUUCGUGUCCCGAAGAUUAAAGAACUUAGUUACGAAAUUUAGGAAAAGCUAUUCAAUAUAAUACUGCUAAAUUACAAUAGGUUAAUUUGUCAGUUAAUGAAGCGGUUAUAUGUUGUAAUUAGCUGUUAAUUUACAGAUAUUUCAUGGAGUAGUGUAGAAUUUAAGGUUUGUUAUUAUUCAUAAAGUAACAGAGUUGACUAAAAUUGUAAAUAAAUUACUGUUAAACUUUAAAAAAGCUUGUGCUUCUAAUGGUGAUUAUAAGAUAUAAGACUGUAAUUAAUAUAAAAGCCAAAAUAUGUGCGACUGGCUUAUUUAGUUUAAUGAUAAAAGGUAAAGUGUAAUAAUAA